rnacentral:rRNA from 1 species
UUGGCCUACGGGGGGCAGCAGUGGGGAAUAUUGGGCAAUGGGCGCAAGCCUGACCCAGCAACGCCGCGUGAAGGAAGAGGGCUUUCGGGUUGUAAACUUCUUUUCUCAGGGACGAAGAAAGUGACGGUACCUGAGGAAUAAGCCACGGCUAACUACGUGCCAGCAGCCGCGGUAAUACGUAGGUGGCAAGCGUUAUCCGGAUUUAUUGGGUGUAAAGGGCGUGUAGGCGGGAGCGCAAGUCAGAUGUGAAAUCCGGGGGCUCAACCCCCGAACUGCAUUUGAAACUGUUGGUCUUGAGUAUCGGG